rnacentral:rRNA from 1 species
UCAGCUCAUAGCGUAUAUUAAGUUGUUGCAGUUAAAAAGCUCGUAGUUGAAUUUCGGGAUCAGUAGGUUGGUCGUGCCACCGGUACGUACUGGUCUCACUGAUUCCUCCUUCCUGAUGAGCUGUAAUGCCAUUAAUUUGGUGUUGCAGGGAAUCUGGACUGUUACUUUGAAAAAAUUAAAGUGUGUAAAGCAGGCA